rnacentral:rRNA from 1 species
GGGUAGCCGGAGCGAAAGCGAGUCUGAAUAGGGCGUUCAGUCGCUAGCUGUAGACCCGAAGCCGAGUGAUCUAGCCAUGGGCAGGUUGAAGCGGGGGUAAGACCCCGUGGAGGACCGAACACACGUCAGUUGAAAAUGGCGGUGAUGACCUGUGGUUAGGGGCGAAAGACCAAUCAAACUCGGCGAUAGCUGGUUCUCCUCGAAAUGCAUUUAGGUGCAGCGUCAUGCGUUCAGUUAUGGAGGUAGAGCACUGGAUGGGUUAGGGGACCUACAAGUUUACCGACCCCAGCCAAACUCCGAAUUACAUAACUCCAGAGCAUGGCAGUGAGACCACGGGGGAUGAGCUUCGUUGGUCGAAAGGGAAACAGCCCAGAUCAUCAGCUAAGGCCCCUAAUUCAGGACUAAGUGGAAAACGAUGUGGAUUUGCACAGACAGCCAGGAGGUUGGCUUAGAAGCAGCCAUCCUUGAAAGAGUGCGUAACAGCUCACUGGUCGAGUGAAUCUGCGCGGACAAUUUAACGGGGCUCAAGUCCUGAGCCGAAGCUAUGGAUUUCAACAUUUAUGUUGGAGUGGUAGAGGAGCGUUGAUGAUGCGACUGAAGCGACGGGAUAACCCGGCGUGGAGUGUCAUCAAGUGAGAAUGUAGGCAUGAGUAGCGAGAGAGGGGUGAGAAACCCCUCCGCCGUAAGCCCAAGGGUUCCUGGGGAAGGCUAAUCCUCCCAGGGUAAGUCGGGAGCUAAGACGAGGCCGUGAGGCGUAGUCGAUGCACAACUGGUUGAUAUUCCAGUACCGCCAUAUACGCGCAAAGGCCAAAUUUAGCGACGUGGGGGCUGCCUUCGGGCGAACCCGCUUAGUUGGAGGCGGUUAACUGAAGGGGGACGCAGGAGGAUAGAUGAACCGGGGCGAUGGUAGUCCCCGGGUAAGUGCGUAGAAGGACUUCGAUGAGAGUUGAGGUCACAUACUUCGAGACACGAUGCCGAUCACAUUUGUGAGAAGUCAUUAAUUCCAUGCUGCCAAGAAAAGCCCAGCAGUGAGUAGAUAUGGCGCCCGUACCCCAAACCGACACAGGUGGGCAGGUAGAGAAUACCGAGGCGAUCGGGAGAACUAUGGUUAAGGAACUCGGCAAAAUGCCUCCGUAACUUCGGAAGAAGGAGGACCCACGUAGGGUGAAGAGACUUCGCGUCUCCAGCCUGAAUGGGUGGCACAGAGCAGGGGGUAGCGACUGUUUAACAAAAACACAGCAGCGUGCGAAGCCGCAAGGCGCGGUAUACGCUGUGACGCCUGCCCAAUGCUGGAAGGUCACGAGGAACGGUUAGCCGUAAGGCGAAGCUGUGAAUCUAAGCCCCAGUGAAUGGCGGCCGUAACUAUAACGGUCCUAAGGUAGCGAAAUUCCUUGUCGGGUAAGUUCCGACCUGCACGAAUGGCGUAAC